AUACGGAGGGUGCAAGCGUUACUCGGAAUCACUGGGCGUAAAGCGCGCGCAGGCGGCUUGAUAAGUUGGAUGUGAAAGCCUACGGCUCAACCGUAGAACUGCAUCCAAAACUGUCAGGCUAGAGUGUGGGAGAGGAAGAUGGAAUUAGUUGUGUAGGGGUAAAAUCCGUAGAGAUAACUAGGAAUACCAAAAGCGAAGGCGAUCUUCUGGAACAGUACUGACGCUGAGGCGCGAAAGCGUGGGGAGCAAACAGGAUUAAAAACCCCAGUAGUCC
rnacentral:rRNA from 1 species